rnacentral:rRNA from 1 species
UACGUAGGUGGCAAGCGUUGUCCGGAUUUAUUGGGCGUAAAGCGCGCGCAGGCGGUCCUUUAAGUCUGAUGUGAAAUCUCGCGGCUCAACCGCGAGCGGUCAUUGGAAACUGGGGGACUUGAGUGCAGAAGAGGAGAGUGGAAUUCCUGGUGUAGCGGUGGAAUGCGCAGAUAUCAGGAGGAACACCAAUAGCGAAGGCAGCUCGCUGGACGUUACUGACACUGAGGCGCGAAAGCGUGGGGAGCGAACAGG